rnacentral:sRNA from 1 species
UAAAAAAACAAUAAACACUUCUCUUGUUAAUACGUUGCCCAUUACAUGUAUUGUAUGUUUUUUGCUCAUAAAAUGCAAGAAAAUAUAAAUUUUACUGUUAUAUUUAAGUAAACAGACUGAUUUGCAUUACCAAACUAAUAAUAUUUUGUCUUGUUGCAAUUCCAGUACUAAUGGUCGAUCCUUGAUAUGUUCAUAAAAUGUCUCUUUUAUAAUUGUUACUUGUUUUCAAUUUUACCCAAGACAAUAGUAGUCUUGAUGCUGCUGUUUCUCGUUUCCGUUACACAAGCUGAGACGAACACCGGAAGUUGUAAAGACAUGUUACAAGGUUAUCUGACAGGACAAUUGUCAUCUGCUCUAGGAGCAUACCAAGUAAAAGCUUUAAGACGAGAAUUCAAAAGUUUUACUGACGUCAUCGAAACAUCAAUAAAGGAGUUUAAGGAAGACAUGAAGUCUGAAGUAAAUACAUACACCGGUAACAGUAGUGUUGUUUACACCAGAUGGGAAAAGAAAACGUGUCCUUCUAAUGCGGAGCUAGUCUAUUCAGGGUUUACCGGAGGCUCAUAUUUUGGUCAUAAAGGAGCUGCAGUUGAACCUCUUUGUUUACCGAGGAAUCCGGAGUGGGGGAGGUACACUGAUGGGCACGAUGGAGCCAAGGCUUAUGUAUUUGGCGCAGAAUAUGAGACUUAUAGCUUUAAAGGUUUCGAUUAAACACUUCAAGAGCACGAUGUUCCGUGUGCUGUUUGUCUUGUUCGCCAAAGAACUGUUGUUAAGAUGUUUCCAGCAAGAAAAAAGUGUUACAAAGGAUGGACUCUGGAGUAUCAGGGCUACCUUAUGGCGGGGUAUUAUGAUCAUGCAGCUGGAACAUCAUACACGUGUAUUGACAGUCAUCCAGACACCUUACAUGGUGGCGCUACAAAUAAAAAUGGUAAACUGUUUUACCUGGUAGAGGCCCAUUGUGGUUCCUUGAAGUGUCGACCUUAUGUUGCAGGAAGAGAACUUGUGUGUGCUGUUUGUUCAAAAAAUUAAAAACAUAAUAAAUAUUUUUGAAAACU